UGGGGAAUAUUGGACAAUGGGGGAAACCCUGAUCCAGCCAUGCCGCGUGUGUGAUGAAGGCCUUCGGGUUGUAAAGCACUUUCGCACGUGAAGAUGAUGACGGUAACGUGAGAAGAAGCCCCGGCUAACUUCGUGCCAGCAGCCGCGGUAAUACGAAGGGGGCAAGCGUUGUUCGGAAUUACUGGGCGUAAAGGGCGCGUAGGCGGUGCACUAAGUCAGGCGUGAAAGCCCUGGGCUCAACCCGGGAAUUGCGCUUGAUACUGGUGCGCUUGAAUCCAGGAGAGGUUGGUGGAAUUCCCAGUGUAGAGGUGAAAUUCGUAGAGAUUGGGAAGAACACCGGUGGCGAAGGCGGCCAACUGGACUGGUAUUGACGCUGAGGCGCGAAAGCGUGGGGAGCAAAC
rnacentral:rRNA from 1 species